UAGAAAAGCUGUCGCGCGAAGAGCUGGUCAGCAAAUGCAGGAAUUUGUUGUCUCUUGCACAAAAGGCCAAGGCAGCAAAAGAUGAAGUAACAGCCGAAUUGAAAAGAGUCAAAGCGGCCUCAAAGAGUGUGGAAGCUGAGGAGGAGCUAAGAAAGAAGGCGGAAUCAGAGGCAGAAGCACUACGAGAGAUGGUGACGGAUCUCACAGAAGGGAAAGUAGCACAGACAACUAAGAUUGAGAGUCUCCAGAGACAGCUACGGGCUGCCUCAAGUGAAGUAGACUCACUCCAUGAACUGAAAGCUGCUUUGCUAGGGGAGAGAGACAAGCAGGAAGCAGAGACCUCAAAACUUCUAACAGAAUAUCAGAAAACAAGAGAAGAGUUAGAACAGAUAAAGGUUUCAAGCACAAAGAAAAUUGAGCUGCUACAGAAGACUUGGGAAAAGGAAAAACACAUUUUACAGGAGAAAGUGGAGAACCUUGAAGCUCAGAAUAGUCAAGUGGAUAUUUUGAAGACCAAAUGUAAGAAGCUUGUUCAAGAGAAAGCAGGGCUGGAGGAAGAGCUCAAGAAACAGCAAGUCCUUGUGGCAAAAGGUGUAAAAAUGCAAGGAGAAGUUUUAGCCCUUAAAGAAGAGAAGAAGGCUGCUGAUAUCAUACUUGAGACCACACAGAAGCAGAAGAAGGCCCUUGAGGACAAGCUAAAAUCCUUCGAAAGCCAAGUCACAGACCUAAAGAAGGCAAAGGAGAAGGACGAGAAAAAUUCCAAAAUGGAACUUGGCAAAGUACAGGAGUUGGAGAAAAGGUUGGGAGAAAAGGAUUUGGCUUUAUCAGAAGCUGAAACCAAGCUGAAGGAUUUAACUAAUAAACUUGAAGAUAUGGAGCGUGCUAAGCAUCUGCUGGAGGAAACUGCAAGAGAAGCGAAGGAGAAAUCUGAGAAGAAUGAAGCUGAUGGAACAAAGUUGAAAGAUGAUCUUAAUGAAGCUUUAGAGAAGAACAAGCACCUUGCAAGUGAAUUUGAUGAUUUUAAGGCAAAACACAGUGAGCAAAUAGAAGUGUAUACGAAAGAGAUUGAAUACCUGAAGUCAACGAUGGAGAAAAAGAUGGAAGAGAGCAGAGUACAUUCAGAAUUAGAGUUACAAAAGAUUAGUGAAGAAAAGGGAGAGCAGUUCAAACAAAUUGAGGAGGAGCAUCAGUCCUUGAAAUUAAAAGAGAAGAAUUUGACUGAAGAAAAUUCCCAAUUGAAGGAUAAUGUAGAGCAGUUAAAAGCUGGCAGUCAAAAACUGGAAGAACAGAUUUCAGAGUUAGAAAGACAGCUAAAAGAAAAAGAUGUGUUCAGUGCAGAUCUCCAGCAGAAAUUUCAAGCCAAAGAAUCUGAAAAUGUCAGUCUUGCUGAAAACAAGAAUAAAGUGGAAAAAUUAAUGGUUCAGGUAAAUGAAUUUACAGUGGAAAUCGAGAAACUUAAUGAAGAAAAUAAGACUUUGCUUGACAAGUGUAACAGUCUAGAAACUGAGACAUCUCAUUUGAAGGAAAAGUUGGCAGAAGCACAGGUGGAAAAGCAAAAUCUUGAAACUGAACAUUCCAAGGCUGCUGGAGAAAAGGGAAGAUUUCAGGAAAUUGCUGAUGAGUGCAAAGAAAAAGUAGAUAAGUUAAAUGAAGACAUAGAGAACCUAAAAUCUGAGAACAGCAAACUGAUUGCAAAUUCAUCAGACAUAAAUGAUACACUGAAAGAUGUCCAGGAAACUGUGUCUUCAGUAGCAUUAGCUUUUAAGGAAGUUUAUCCCAUUAUGAGUGAGUCCUUCAUUUCUUCAACUACUGACAAUCUCUUAGCAAGACUGAAAGGUAUUCAAGAGCUUUUAGGUGAAAUUGGCAAGAAGCGGGAGAGCUUCAGUUCAGAAGAGUGGGUAAAGACUGUCAUAAGUUCACUUGAACAUUUCCAGAACAGCUUUCAGGUUAUUGUUCAGUCUAAGACCAAGGUACAUAAAGAGUCCUGUGAUGAUUGUUUUGGUAGUUUAAGCAAAAGUUUUAUAGAUGUUUACAAAAUUACAUUGUCUCUCUUGGAUCUCCCGGAAAACUCGAUCUUUGAAGAGAAGUGCCGACAAAUCACCUUAUCAUGUUCAGAGCUGUGUGAAGGUUUGAGUAAAGAUUUGGAAAUGGCAAAUCAGAUGAGUGAAGACAUGAAAAGGUUAACCCAAGAAAGAGAGGCAUUGAAUGAACAGAUACAUAAAGUAAGUGAAGAAGCUGACAGAAAAGUCAAAGAGGUGUCUGUCCAUCUUGACAACACAUUAAAAGAAAAGAACAGUGAUUUAGAGAACAAAAAGGAAAUGAUUGCUGAGCAUGAGAAAACUGUGAAGAAGCUAGAGAAAGCCAUAGAGGAUGAGAAAGCAUCAUUUGAAAAACUGUCAACAGAACACAAAGAGAAACUGUCUGUUUUAGAAGAAAAGUUAACCUUGAAGGAAAAAAGAAUUGGUGAAUUAGAGACACAUAUAACAUCAGGUGACAGCCAGAAAGAGGAGAUUGUCAGUAACUUAAGAAAGCAAUUAGAGAAUAUUACAGAAGAAAAGACAAACUUAGACAAGAAAUUGGAGGAAGUCACUGUACAGAAGGAGCAUAUGGAGAAGUCACACAGAGACCAGAGUGAAGAAAUGGCCAGCUUGCUGAAGAAAGAGGAGGAACUGUCCACUGAACGUAACCUCCUCCAGAAGGAAAAGGAGGCUGUGGCAAAUAACCUAGAAGAUUUGAAGAGGGAGUUUACCACUAAGGAAAAGAUCUAUCUAGAUGAGAAGCAUGAGUUGGAGAAGAAAAUCGUCCUGUUAUCUGAAGAAAAGAUCAGUUUAGAAAAGGAAUUUGCAGCCAUGAGUCAAAGCAGGAAAUCUAAUGAAGAAGACUUCAGCUCAAAGAGAAAAGAACUUGAGGAACAAAUCCACAAUAUUAUGGAGGAAAAUGCCAGCCUAAAGUUAGAACUUGAGGAUAGGAAAGGAGAAAAUGCAACUCUGCAGGAAAAUAUUCAAGAACUGGAGAAAAAGAUUGAGAAUCUUGGGUCUGAUGUGGGACAGUUGCAAGAAAGGGUCACAGAUAGAGAGAAGGAGCUAGAGACGCUAAGACAGGAGAAAGAGGCAUCAGACAAAGAAGUGAAGGAAGCUGAAAAUCAGAGGCUACAGCUCAACUCGUCACUUGAAACAUCAGCUAACAGAUGUGAGGAGCUUCUCACUGAGCUGAAUCAGAUGAACAAUGUUCUUCGUGAGCGUGGGGAGAGAAUAUCCAGGCUAGAAGCCGCAAACAAAGAGAAGACUGAGCAGCUUGAGGCAACUUCUAAACAGCUUCAAGAACUACAAAAUAAGAUGUCAAGUAGUGAAGCAGAGCUUGCCAGCAAGCAGGAACAGCUCCAGACAAUUACUGAAAAGCUUCAAUCAUUCAGUAAUGAUUCUCCCCCACCUGCAACAGCACCAGACAAUCAGCAGCUGGAAAAGCUUGAAGAGAGGAUCAAGGAACUUCAGCAAGAGAGGGAUGUUCUAAAAAAGACAAUCCAAGGUUUAGAGAGUGAACUGUCUUCAGCCCGUGAGUCAACCAACCAAGCUCAGGAUGCGCAGAGUGAGGCCAUGAGCACAAGCACAAUCAGUCGAGCAGAGGACACCCAACGCAUGAAGGAACUGGAAGACACUUUUGAGGAGAGGUAUAUGAAGCUAAAGAGUGUUGCGAUUAAGUUGAAGAAACGAGUAGCGGAACUCACAGCCCAGCUCAACUCAUCUGAAGAAUCACGCAGUAGAUUAGCUACGGAAAAGGAUGAUCUUAAGAAGAAGUUUGACAUGGGAGCCAAAGAUAGCAUGAAAACUGUAUCAAAGAAUAUACAGGCUCUUCAGGGUGAGAUUGACAGAUUGCAAGAUGAAGUUGACAGCAAAGUAAAAGAACUCAAGGACACUGGAAAACAGCUCGUGGCAGCAACUGAACAACUAGCAGCUGCAAAGUCUGAUUUGGCAAAGAUGCAAGAGGAAAAUGCGGUCAUAUAUCGCACAGUAAAGAGCCUAGAGGAAACAAUUGCCACACAGGAAAGUGUUACCUUAAGCUUGCGGGGGCAAGUCACUAGCCUGGAGGAGCGGAUAGCAGCUGAGGUACAGCAGCAGCAGGCCCUUGAGGAACGCAGGAGGAAGGCGGAUGAGCAGAUUGAGGAGGAGAGACAGAAAAUUUCCCAGCUCACAAGGGAACUGGAGGAAGCAAAGCAGGAUAGUAAAACAAAGAGCCUGAUGGACCUGGAAAUGCGGGACUAUGAGCUGACGGUGAGCGAACUCCAAGGCCAGCUGGCAGAGAAGGACACCAAUAUUACUGAGCUGCAGGCAGAGAUUGAGAGGGAGAAGAGGCGAUCGGGGAGUCUACAGGAUCAGCUGGUUCACCUUUCCACCCAGGAAGCCACUGAGAGAGAAAGAGCAGAGAAGAUGAAGAAACUUCUCCUGGAUCACAAGACACAGUUAGCUGAGCUGCGACAAGUACAGGAGGUCCAGGCAGCCGUACAGGAGACAGACAGAGUCACAAUUGAACAGCUUACCCAGGAAGUUGAAAAGCAGAAAUUAGUGUUGUCAGAAAUUAGCAUUGAAAAGACAAGACUAGAGGAUGCUUUGAGGAAAUCUAAAGCUGUGGCUGAUCAUCAAAUUGAAGUCUUAGAGGAUCAACUUUCAAAGCAUAAACUUGAAGUCAGUCAGCUAACAUCAGAACUGAAAACAGUUAAGGAUGAAUUUGAAGGUUACAAAGUGAGGGUCCACAGUGUAUUGAGACAAAAAUCCAGAGCACCAGACAUUGAUGUGAAUGAGUUGAAGACAGAGAGGGACCAGCUCCAGAGUGAUUACGAUGCAGCCCAGUUAAGAAUACAACAGUUACAAUCUGAGAUCUCUGCGGUGAAGGCAGAACUCAGCUAUUUGCAGUCUGAGAAGGAUGGACUUUUACGUCAGGUGUCUUCCAUCUCUGAGGAAUUGACCAAAAGGGAGGCAUCCCAUCAAGAGAAAGUUGCCAAACUCGAGAGUAAAAUUGAGACUAAGACGGCAGAGUAUCAGCUGAUCAUUGCCAACAUGUCCAUUCAAAAUGAAACUAUGAGUAAUAGUUUUAAGAAGCAACUUGAGACUCUCCGUGAGACCCACACUCAUGAGGUAGAGGAUCUUACAAAGAAACUGGAAGAAACUGAGGACAAGCUUUGGCAGCUCAAGAACAAUGUUAAUACUGUGCCAGCUCCUUCUGCAAAUGCAAGCAACUCCCUUAGCCCUUAUGCAGGUGUCCCUCACACUAAUCGUCACGAAUUGGAGACAAACACCACUGCCGCUCACCAUAAUCAGCACAGACGUCAACACAGCCAUGGCUCAGAGGAGAAUAGAAUUGAUAUCACUAACAUGAUCAGGGAAGAAGGAGAGGGAUCUGAGUGGGUGGAGCCUGUACACCAUUCCCCGGCUAGACCCAUGGGAUACAGCCCGCCACCCUUGGAGCAGCUCAUAAACUCUCCCCUGCCCUCAGCCCCCAGUCAGCAACCCCCUCAAGAUGACACAGUCAGCGUCACCAGUGUUGCCACUGAUGCCACACUAAAGGAGAUUGAUAGGCUGGAGUCGAAGUUGAAAUCAGGAGAGAUGCGGAUUCAGCAGCUGACCUCACUCUUGCAUGAGUCAGAGGCAGAAAACGCCAAGCUGUGCCAACUCGCAGAUGCACUUAAGGAAGAAAUCCGAAGAUCAGCUCGUAAUGAGAGCCGAGAGAAGCACAUGGAAAAUAUGGAAUAUGCCAAGAAUGUGAUAUUGAAGUUUUUGAUGCUGAGGAACAAUGAGGAACGGAAACACCUUGUGCCUGUUCUCAAGACAGUUCUACAGUUGUCACCACAAGAAGUGUCACAACUUGAGCAAAUGGCAGUUGGAACAGAAGAAGGAGCCUCAAAUGGAGGAUGGAGUGAUUAUCUACAUCUGUGGUCAAGUAGAUAACAAGUGGCCACACCAUUUUGGAAACUGUUCAUUUUAGUCUCCCUUGCAACACAUGUUGGGAUUUAAAGGUUGACUUUCACGAAAGGGCCCUUAGAAGUGCAGUGCAGGAUUAGUAAGAAUGCCCAGUCGCAAAAGGAGCAGAUCUAAAGAGUUGCUAAUCACCUAAUUAUGCUUUUAGAAUACUGUGUAAAUUAGUACAUGUUUUGUGAUAAUAGGACUGAAAUGAUAAGUGAAAAGCAAGUGUUUUUUUUAUGAAAUUAUAUACUGUCGAAGGUGCAGCACCAUGUUUGUACAGCUUUAGUCUGUUUGUGCAGAUUUAGUCUGUUCACACAAAAGUAAUGGGAAGGGACAAUCAUUCCAUCAGAUAUUUUAUUGUUGAGAAAUAUGUGUCUUGUCCCUGUGCUGGGCAAGUGAACAUGUAUACAAAUUUUAAAGUUGGAAUUUGACGGACUUAUAAAGAUCUUAAGCUGAAGUACCCAUGCAAUUAAGCAGUUUAACAGGUGGUGGUAGGGAGCCUGCUAACUCUACUACUGAAGGCAGUAACAAUCUACCCUUUAGUACAUUGUUUUUUUUCCCACACUUUAUCAUAGUUCUUGUUUCCAUUGUCUGCUGUUUGAUUCUGUUUUAUAUGGAGCGUGUUGUAGCUUUCAUAACCGAAAAGAAAAAAAUCCAGUUGUAUGACAUAUUUGCAGUUACGCACUCUCCUUCACGUGAUGUAUGUCGCAGCUAUUCAGUUAACUUUUCUGGAUUGUUGAACCUAUCAGUAAAGUAAUGAGAUGACAUUUCAGUAAGGAAUAUAUCCAUUUGAUCCCUAGCAAACUGCAUAUAUAUGUAAAUAAUCUCUCAUAUCUUGCUGACUGGUAGAUUGUUAUGGAAAUGUUUCACAAAAAGCAAAUGUUGAUCAGAAUCUUGUAUGUAACUUAGAAAGUGUUCCAAUUCUUUGUGAGUGAAACUUAGGAUGCUUCACUUUCUAAUUAAGUUAUAAGAUUUGAAACUUACCUCAGAUUAUUUUUUCACUUUUCAAAUUGAAAUAUAAAAUCUGGUAGUAGAUACGCGAGACCUAAGAAGUCAGGGCCAGAUUAGUGAAGGGAUUAGAAUCACUGAUUAGUGAAGGUCAACCUGUAUUACUGGACUUAUUUAUUUGCAAAAGUUUUAAGAUGUAUUAUUACAAUUAUUUAACAGUUUUUAAUUAUUUAUUUUUAUUAUUAUUAUUUUGUCAUUUAAAGCUGAACUUGAUGUAAAACCAGAAAAUAAUUCCUCCCUGGAACACGGAUAUAAGGGCUGUCAAACUUAUUUACCCCAAGGGGCCACAUUUCACCUUAGUGUACAGUAUGAGGGCCAAAUAAUCAUGAAUAAAUCAAGUCCACAUCUUAGUUAGGUCGUAUUAAGGCCAUAUGGUUGAAGUAAAAAUAUUGAAAGCUAUUCCAUUCAUUAUCAAAACACAAUAAUAAAAAAAACUGUAAGAGUGUAAAUUAUAAUCUUAAAUAAUGAAGGACUGGCUUAAUUAUUCACAUGAAAUGGCCAGCUGUUAGAUUGAAAUAGAAAAUGUGCCACAGGCUGCACAUGGGAGUGUGGCAGGCCACAUGCAAUGUUUGACACCCUUGAUGUACAGGGUUUGUGUAUGAAGGUGGCUAUGUAUGCCAUUGUGAUAGUAGGCUUAUCUUUGAUUAGGAUAGAAGAUGAAAUAAUGUAAGCAAAAUAAGGGAAGAAGAGCAAGAAAAAAAUAUCCAAGGAAGUAAAAUAUGCCAUAAGUAUUAUGUCUGAUGUUUUGUUUUGAAAUACAGUAGGGUUUUAUGAAUUCUGAAUCCUCUGAAAAGCAUCAUUCUGAAUUUUCACAUGGAUUUAGCUGUCAGCAAAUUGAUCUGUGUUUCUUUACAGUUGUGUCUUUUCCCAGGUCUGUAUGAGAGAGAAAAUGAUAUAACUGAAAGGAUUAAUGAUGUUUUUGUGAUACAUAAAACCUCCCGGAUUUAUAUAAUGUAACAACCCACAAUAGGAAGUUUUUUGGUUGAUGAUAUAAUUGUGAAAUAAGAAAAUUGUUCUUUCCCUUUGUAUUACCUAUGUUAAUUUUUCCACUUUAUUCAAUAUUACUGUGUUCAUUAUUUCUUUUUUGCUGUAACAGCAUACCACAAACAUUACAAUAAACAAUACUUAUGUAUACUUCAGGUAUGGGUAGCACUGUAUUCACACACCUUUUUAAAAGGACCAGAUGCUGCCCAGUUUUUUUUCCUCCGAAUUUGAUUAAUUUUGGCAAUAAACCAAGUUCAGGAAGAGUAUAUUUAAGCAGUUACAGCUAUAUUCACAAAUAAUUUUGGCAACUUUCCAAAUAUUUGCACACAGAUGUUGCAAUUGUUUUUUCCUGUUUUGUAUAUCUUGAAGGUUUGCAGAAAACAUUUCUGUUGCAUCAGAACACUAUAGCACAAAUAUUUUAUGAGUAAAUCUAUUUCUCUGUGUAUCAACAAAAUUUGAUUUUAAUAUCUGCAGAAUAAGCAUGUGUCUGGAUGUGUGUGAUGUAUGUAUUGUUUUUAUAUGUAUAUAUAUACUUGUAUCUUUUUAAUAAUUAGGAUUGUCUGACAGGCAUUCAGACUAAAAGUGAAUCUACUAAAUGUCCUUUUGUGUACUUACAGCAUAGAAGUGCAUGUCCUGUAAUAAGAUUUAUUUGAGUUCUUUAUCGAAAUUGAUUGUUGAUUAAGCAAGUGAUUAUUGAGUGUAAUGUGCAAGUAAUAUCCAUUCGGAGAAAAAUAAGAUAUAUUUGAGUUGAUGUUUCUUCCCUCAAGCAGUUUAUCAUGAGGAGACCACCUUUCUUGUGUAUACUUUUUAUACGUUGGUGGUUCCAAAAGUUAAUAAAGAAGUUUGUAAUCUACC